AUGUGGGAGCGAAUGUGGAGCUCCGGACGCGGCUCCGACAGCAAAUCCGGCCGUGAGCAUGACCCGGAGCGCGAGCGGCGCGUCCGGUCGGACGGCGCGAGGAAGCGCGGCGCCCGGAAGUGGACCAACCACGAGAUGUCGACGCCGGCGAGCUUCAACCGCCGCGAGAUGGAGGAGUACAACCGCCGGCGCGCGUCCUUCUCCUCCGCGAGGUCCUACGCCGGAUCCUCCUCGUCCUCCUGCACGGGCUUCCUCCCCGUGAAGAGGGAGUGGUCGGACGACGAGGAGGAGCCGGAGCCGCCGACGCCGUUCGCCUUCGUCCCGGUGAAGGAGGAGCCCGAGGAGCCCGCUCCGCUCGGCCGCCGCGGAGUCGUUGGGCCCGAGGACUACGUCGCGGACUAUGCUAAUAUGCCACCAAUGGCCGACGAUGGAGGAGGCGGCGGCGGCGGCGAGCACCAUGUCCAGAUAACUGCUGGCGGCGCCAGGCAAGGCAAGGUCGACCCGCCGGAGAAGCAGCUGUAUCGCUUCAUUCGUUCCGUCGUGCUGAUCGAGAGAGUGGGCAAUGCGCUUGGUACGCUGGCAUUCACGUGGGCCACCGUCGUCCUGCUCGGCGGCUACGCCAGUCAACUCCACCCCGAUGAUGAUUUUGUGUUCGCGACAAUCUUAAUUUUCUUGGAGACCGCAAGAGGGCUAUUAUUAGCAGCUAAAACGAGCAAUGUUCUUCUUCUUGGCGCUGCUCCCUAUCUUCUUCUCCCGUCCAUCUCUUUCUCCCCUCCAGCUGUGACGCCACGGCGAGUUGCGUCGUCCCCACCUACAGUGAGAUCCAUCUUCCAUGGCGUCCCAUGGUUGAGCUCGGGCGCUGCCCGCCUCCUGGCUAGCCCUCGCCUACGAUGCCGCAGCUGGCCGCGGAGCGUUCUGCUGCCGGCGAACGAACGGGGGACGCUGCACGCCGACUGCGACGCGCACGGCGGGUUCAACCCAAACAUCACCUUUCCCCAUGGCCACCCCGCCCAGCGCACAUCCUCGCCCACGUUCGCCGGCGUUCAGUACCCCCCGUACACCUACUCACUGCACUUCUCGCAAGCCUCGUCGUCACAUCUCGUGCGAGCGCCUCCAUCCCUGCAUCAGACCGACACCAAGCCCAACGACCAGCGGAGGUGUGCCCUGGCGUCCCGCUUCCCCUCCACCCCCUAUUCGCUCCAAUGA
rnacentral:rRNA from 1 species